rnacentral:rRNA from 1 species
ACACGUGUAUCCUAAUGACUCUCGGCAACGGAUAUCUCGGCUCUUGCAUCGAUGAAGAACGUAGCGAAAUGCGAUACUUGGUGUGAAUUGCAGAAUCCCGUGAACCAUCGAGUCUUUGAACGCAAGUUGCGCCCGAAGCCAUUAGGCUGAGGGCAUGCC